GUCCUAGCUGUAAACGAUGGGCACUGGGUAGAGGGGGUGUCGAUACUCUCUUUGCCGAAGCAAAUGUGUUAAGUGCCCCGCCUGGGGAGUACGGUCGCAAGGCUAAAACUCAAAGGAAUUGACGGGGGCUCACACAAGCGGUGGAGCAUGUGGUUCAAUUCGAAGCAACGCGAAGAACCUUACCCGGGUUUGAAAUCCACGGAUGGGUCCGGCGAAAGUUGGAUACCCUACCCGCAAGGGUGAAACGUGGACAGGUGUUGCAUGGCUGUCGU
rnacentral:rRNA from 1 species